rnacentral:rRNA from 1 species
AUUGAACGCUGGCGGCAGGCCUAACACAUGCAAGUCGAGCGGAUGAAGGGAGCUUGCUCCUGGAUUCAGCGGCGGACGGGUGAGUAAUGCCUAGGAAUCUGCCUGGUAGUGGGGGAUAACGUCCGGAAACGGGCGCUAAUACCGCAUACGUCCUGAGGGAGAAAGUGGGGGAUCUUCGGACCUCACGCUAUCAGAUGAGCCUAGGUCGGAUUAGCUAGUUGGUGGGGUAAAGGCCUACCAGGGCGACGAUCCGUAACUGGUCUGAGAGGAUGAUCAGUCACACUGGAACUGAGACACGGUCCAGACGCCUACGGGAGGCAGCAGUGGGGAAUAGUGGACAAUGGGCGAAAGCCUGAUCCAGCCAUGCCGCGUGUGUGAAGAAGGUCUUCGGAGUGUAAAGCACUUUAAGUGGGGAGGAAGGGCAGUAAGUUAAUACCUUGCUGUUUUGACGUUACCAACAGAAUAAGCACCGGCUAACUUCGUG